rnacentral:rRNA from 1 species
UACGAAGGGUCCAAGCGUUGUUCGGAAUCAUUGGGCGUAAAGCGCGCGCAGGCGGAUUAAUAAGUCAGGUGUGAAAUCUCGGAGCUCAACUCCGAAACUGCGCCUGAAACUAUUAGUCUAGAAUGUCGGAGGGGGCAGGGGAAUUUACACGUGGUAGGGGGUAAAAAUUCCGUAGAGAUGUGAAGGGAAACACCCGGGGGGCGAAGGCGCCUGC